rnacentral:lncRNA from 1 species
GCUCUGUGCUGCUGGCCAACUCUGCAGGGCUGAGAGCUGCUCCCUACCCUGCCUGUCUGACUUGGCCUGGCUAAAGCCCUCUGAUCUCUGUUGGACUUUCACUUGGCACCUUAGUUUACUAAGUCCUGUUUCUGCUCCUGCCCUGGUUACCGACGCUCAACCAGAAUCCUUUAUUGCAUCUGCCACUUUCUCGCCAUCUCUGCUUAUCCACAAAGGGUCUUUGAGUGGAAUGUUCUUAUCACGUGGUUAUGGGUUCCGAGCUGUCUGCUGGGGCUUUAAUAUGAGGCUGAGGACUUUUAUCAUACUGCUGGCAGCAGGAGGUAUCUGGAAGAGAGGAAGAGGAGGACCACAAUGGAGUGUGAUUCAGCUUCUUGAUGCUGAAUCCUGUAAAAGAGAAGGAGACCCACCCCGAGCCAUGGGAGCACUGCCAACCUGGGUCUGCCUUGGGAGCUAUGAAAGCCUUUCAGGAGGACAUGAUGUCUGAACUAAG